AGUCACUGACAUUAGAUACCCGUGUAGUCCAGGGUGUAAACGCUGCAGACUUGGUGUUGGAAGUCCUUUGGGGGCAUUCAGUGCCGGAGAGAAGUUGUUAAGUCUGCUACUUGGGAGUACGUCCGCAAGGAUGAAACUUAAAGGAAUUGGCGGGGGAGCACCGCAACGGGAGGAGCGUGCGGUUUAAUUGGAUUCAACACCGUAAAACUCACCAGGGAAGACUGUUACAUGAAGGCCGAGAUGAAGACUCUGCUAGAUUUUCAG
rnacentral:rRNA from 1 species